rnacentral:rRNA from 1 species
GCUGGCGGCAGGCUUAACACAUGCAAGUCGAGCGGUAACAGGAGAAGCUUGCUUCUCGCUGACGAGCGGCGGACGGGUGAGUAAUACUUAGGAAUCUACCUAGUAGUGGGGGAUAGCUCGGGGAAACUCGAAUUAAUACCGCAUACGACCUACGGGAGAAAGGGGGCAACUUGUUGCUCUCGCUAUUAGAUGAGCCUAAGUCGGAUUAGCUAGAUGGUGGGGUAAAGGCCUACCAUGGCGACGAUCUGUAGCUGGUCUGAGAGGAUGAUCAGCCACACCGGGACUGAGACACGGCCCGGACUCCUACGGGAGGCAGCAGUGGGGAAUAUUGGACAAUGGGGGCAACCCUGAUCCAGCCAUGCCGCGUGUGUGAAGAAGGCCUUUUGGUUGUAAAGCACUUUAAGCAGUGAAGAAGACUCCAUGGUUAAUACCCAUGGACGAUGACAUUAGCUGCAGAAUAAGCACCGGCUAACUCUGUGCCAGCAGCCGCGGUAAUACAGAGGGUGCAAGCGUUAAUCGGAAUUACUGGGCGUAAAGCGAGCGUAGGUGGCUUGAUAAGUCAGAUGUGAAAGCCCCGGGCUUAACCUGGGAACGGCAUCUGAUACUGUUAGGCUAGAGUAGGUGAGAGGAAGGUAGAAUUCCAGGUGUAGCGGUGAAAUGCGUAGAGAUCUGGAGGAAUACCGAUGGCGAAGGCAGCCUUCUGGCAUCAUACUGACACUGAGGUUCGAAAGCGUGGGUAGCAAACAGGAAUAAGAAAAGCCUG